rnacentral:rRNA from 1 species
AUUCCAGCUCCAAUAGCGAAUACUAAUUCUGCUGCAGUUAAAAAGCUCGUAGUUGAACCUCUGGUAGGGCAGAUCCGGCCGUUGGGAUGAUUCCCUUUGUUGCUGUGUGUCUCGUCUGGCCAUCUUUCCUUUUUUAAUAAAAAAGGAUCUUUCACUGUAAAAAAAUUAGGGUGUUUCAAGCAAAAGUUAUUUGGAAUAUAUUAGUAUGGGAUGAUAAGAUAAGCUUUAGUUGCUAUUUUGUUGGUUUGCACAAUUAAAGAAUGAUUAACAGGGACAGUCGGGGGUAUUCAUAUUUACAUGUCAGAGGUGAAAUUCUUGGAUUUUGGAAAGAUGAACGACUGCGAAGGCAUAUACCAAGGAUGUUUUCAUUG